rnacentral:misc_RNA from 1 species
ACAAACUUGGUCAUUUAGAGGAAGUAAAAGUCGUAACAAGGUUUCCGUAGGUGAACCUGCGGAAGGAUCAUUACCGAGUGCGGGCCCUCUGGGUCCAACCUCCCACCCGUGUUUAUAGUACCUUGUUGCUUCGGCGCGCCCGCCGCGCUGGCGGCCGGGGGGCGAGAGCCCCCGGGCUAGCGCCCGCCGAAGACACCAACGAACGCUGUCUGAAGAUUGCAGUCUGAGCUUAUUAGCUAAAUCGGUUAAAACUUUCAACAACGGAUCUCUUGGUUCCGGCAUCGAUGAAGAACGCAGC